GAUGAACGCUGGCGGCGUGCCUAAUACAUGCAAGUCGAGCGAACAGACGAGGAGCUUGCUCCUCUGACGUUAGCGGCGGACGGGUGAGUAACACGUGGAUAACCUACCUAUAAGACUGGGAUAACUUCGGGAAACCGGAGCUAAUACCGGAUAAUAUAUUGAACCGCAUGGUUCAAUAGUUAAAGACGGUUUUGCUGUCACUUAUAGAUGGAUCCGCGCCGCAUUAGCUAGUUGGUAAGGUAACGGCUUACCAAGGCAACGAUGCGUAGCCGACCUGAGAGGGUGAUCGGCCACACUGGAACUGAGACACGGUCCAGACUCCUACGGGAGGCAGCAGUAGGGAAUAUUCCGCAAUGGGCGAAAGCCUGACGGAGCCACGCCGCGUGAGUGAUGAAGGUCUUCGGAUCGUAAAACUCUGUUAUUAGGGAAGAAAAAAUGUGUAAGUAACUAUGCACGUCUUGACGGUACCUAAUCAGAAAGCCCCGGCUAACUACGUG
rnacentral:rRNA from 1 species